UGAAACUCAUUGCGACAGCUUCGGUAGCGGCUGGUGCUAUUCAAUAAAAACACAUUUUAUUGACUAAAAAGAAGACAGCAAGCUUUAGGGAAAUGCAGUUCCUUAACAUUUGUGUGUUUCUUCUGAGCGCAUUUAUGCUUACUUCCUGGAUAAAUGCGACGCCUUACAAUUAUUACCAGACUGCCAAUGUGGGACGCUUCGGGGGCAGCGCCUUUGGUGAGGGCGUACUCAGGCCCGGCAGCGAUACGGGCGAAGGCAUUUUUUCCGAGCUAGACGCACCCAGCUAUACGCCUCCCAAUACCAAUAGAUACAAUAUAUACAAUUAUCAGUAAUAAUCGUGAAUUUCAAACAAACUACAAUUAACCUCAACUACAUAUAUAAUCCAACCAGUGCUGCCAAUGCAGCAGCUUUCUAGCUAAAUUUGGCUGCUUUUAGUUGAAAUUUCAAAUUGAUUUGUUCAAUUUAGCUAUUUUUAAGCGGCAGUUGGCAACACUGAAUCCAACGGGAUUGAAGAGCUUGCAGGAAACUAACUUAACUUAGCCUAGACACAAACCCAAAUACAAAUAAGAAGCUUUACGAUGUGAUGUAUACAUAUACUCAAGUAUAAAAUAUAAACUUUAAUUUAAUUAAAAA